GUUGACCUCGGAUCAGGUAGGAAUACCCGCUGAACUUAAGCAUAUC
rnacentral:rRNA from 81 species